ACUUGUCCUCUCCUGCUGUGGUUCUGCAUCUUUACAUACACACUGUAACAAAGUCUCAUGGAAUGCAUGCCGCGUUUAACGCAAUAAAAUACAACUUUCAGCAACGGAUCUCUUGGCUCUCGCAUCGAUGAAGAACGCAGCGAAAUGCGAUAAGUAAUGUGAAUUGCAGAAUUCAGUGAAUCAUCGAAUCUUUGAACGCACCUUGCGCCCUUUGGCAUUCCGAAGGGCAUGCCUGUUUGAGUAUCAUGAACACCUCAACUCUUCAUGGUUUUCCAUGAUGAGCUUGGACUUUGGGGGUCUUGCUGGCCUGCGGUCGGCUCCUCUCAAAUGAAUCAGCUUACCAGUGUUUGGUGGGCAUCACAGGUGUGAUAACUAUCUGCGCUUGUGGUUUUCCACCAAGUAACCUUCAGCAGUGGAGGUUCACUGGAGCUCACAGACGUCUCUCCUCAGUGAGGACAG
rnacentral:rRNA from 1 species